AGAGAGGAUGCCCAUGGUCUGCAGUGUGAGCACAGUCUUGAUGUUGGAGGACAGGAGACAGGGACCAAGAGUUCUGCCUGUGCAUGGCAAGCGAGGCUGAGUUGGCUGAGUUGGAUAUACAGCUCCUCCUGCCUUUGCCCAGCCUCAAAUGAUGAUUCUGGAUCCAAAUCACAGGCAUUUUCUCCCAAAUGCAGAACACCAACCCUACUGCAGAGAUUCCCACUGAGAACACAGCUAAUGCCCACUGCUUUCCAGGCUAACUUCAUGGAAGCACACCAAAGCCAGGGCUUCAGCAGUGUUUCUAGUCCAAUUGGGUUUCCCUGGGUUAUUCAUUAUUUUCAGAGGAAAAUAAAUCCUUUGGCCUGUGAAAAUGCUGUGAUGACUCUCA